GAUGAAGAUCGCAGCGAAAUGCGAUAAGUAGUGUGAAUUGCAGAAUUCAGUGAAUCAUCGAAUCUUUGAACGCACAUUGCGCCCCUUGGUACUCCAUGGGGCAUGCCUGUUCGAGCGUCAUUUACACCCUCAAGCUCUGCUUGGUGUUGGGCGUCUGUCCCGCUUCGUGCGCGGACUCGCCUCAAAUGCAUUGGCAGCGGUCUUGCCAGCUUCUCGCGCAGCACAUUGCGCUUCUAGAGGCUUUGGCGGAUCGGCGUCCAUCAAGUACACCCACAGUUUGACCUCGGAUCAGGUAGGGAUACCCGCUGAACUUAAGCAUAUCAAUAAGCGGAGGA
rnacentral:misc_RNA from 1 species